CCAAAGAUCAAAAUUCAUUUUUUUAAUUUUUAUAUAAAAGAGCAUAUGUGUUAUCCUAUUAUUUACUAUGCUAUCUAUUACUAUGCAAGCUAUUAACAAAAACCUAUUACUACUAUUUAAAAGAAGGGAAAAGAGAAAUCUUAUUGGUCUUUCUCCAUUGUGCUCAGCUCCUCUGUGUAGAGUCUUCAUCCAUGCACGGUCUUCCUCUUGCUCAACCGUUUGCUCUAGCAGCAUCAACUCUUUCUCAUCAGAUGGUAGCUGCUUCUACAUUUUCA
rnacentral:lncRNA from 1 species